rnacentral:rRNA from 1 species
UGGGGAAUCUUAGACAAUGGGGGAAACCCUGAUCUAGCCAUGCCGCGUGAGUGACGAAGGCCUUAGGGUCGUAAAGCUCUUUCGCCAGGGAUGAUAAUGACAGUACCUGGUAAAGAAACCCCGGCUAACUCCGUGCCAGCAGCCGCGGUAAUACGGAGGGGGUUAGCGUUGUUCGGAAUUACUGGGCGUAAAGCGCACGUAGGCGGACUAUUAAGUCAGGGGUGAAAUCCCGGGGCUCAACCCCGGAACUGCCUUUGAUACUGGUAGUCUUGAGUUCGAGAGAGGUGAGUGGAAUUCCGAGUGUAGAGGUGAAAUUCGUAGAUAUUCGGAGGAACACCAGUGGCGAAGGCGGCUCACUGGCUCGAUACUGACGCUGAGGCGCGAAAGCGUGGGGAGCAAACAGGAUUAGAUACCCCCGUAGUCC